rnacentral:rRNA from 1 species
CCUACGGGGCGCAGCAGUGGGGAAUAUUGGGCAAUGGGCGCAAGCCUGACCCAGCAACGCCGCGUGAAGGAAGAAGGCUUUCGGGUUGUAAACUUCUUUUAUGAGGGACGAAUAAAGUGACGGUACCUCAUGAAUAAGCCACGGCUAACUACGUGCCAGCAGCCGCGGUAAUACGUAGGUGGCAAGCGUUAUCCGGAUUUACUGGGUGUAAAGGGCGUGUAGGCGGGAAUGCAAGUCAGAUGUGAAAACUAUGGGCUCAACUCAUAGCCUGCAUUUGAAACUGUAUUUCUUGAGUGAUGGAGAGG